rnacentral:rRNA from 1 species
UACCUGGUUGAUCCUGCCAGUAGUCAUAUGCUUGUCUCAAAGAUUAAGCCAUGCAUGUCUCAGUACAAGCCAAAUUAAGGUGAAACCGCGAAAGGCUCAUUAAAUCAGUUAUGGUUCCUUAGAUCGUACCCACUUUUACUUGGAUAACUGUGGUAAUUCUAGAGCUAAUACAUGCAAACAGAGUCCCGACCCGAGAGGGAAGGGGCGCUUUUAUUAGAUCAAAACCGAUCGGCGGCGUCCGCGCCCGUCGCAAAUACUGGUGAAUCUGAAUAACUUUUGCAGAUCGCACGGUCUCGCACCGGCGACGCAUCUUUCAAAUGUCUGCCUUAUCAACUGUCGAUGGUAGGUUCUGCGCCUACCAUGGUCGUAACGGGUAACGGGGAAUCAGGGUUCGAUUCCGGAGAGGGAGCCUGAGAAACGGCUACCACAUCCAAGGAAGGCAGCAGGCGCGCAAAUUACCCACUCCCGGCACGGGGAGGUAGUGACGAAAAAUAACGAUACCGGACUCAUCCGAGGCCCGGUAAUCGGAAUGAGUACACUUUAAAUCCUUUAACGAGGAUCAAUUGGAGGGCAAGUCUGGUGCCAGCAGCCGCGGUAAUUCCAGCUCCAAUAGCGUAUAUUAAAGUUGUUGCGGUUAAAAAGCUCGUAGUUGAAUCUGUGUCCCGCUCUGUCGGUUCACCGCUCGCGGUGUUUAACUGGCAUUGACGCGGGACGUCCUGCCGGCGGGCGCGGCUCGUCGAAAGCGCGCGCGUCGCGAGACGCACCUGUCGCGGUGCUCUUAACCGAGUGUCGAGGCGGGCCGGCACGUUUACUUUGAACAAAUUAGAGUGCUCAAAGCAGGCUUGUUAUACGCCUGAAUAGUGUGCGCAUGGAAUAAUGGAAUAGGACCUCGGUUCUAUUUUGUUGGUUUUCGGAAUUUCCGAGGUAAUGAUUAAUAGGGACAGGUGGGGGCAUUCGUAUUGCGACGUUAGAGGUGAAAUUCUUGGAUCGUCGCAAGACGGACAGAAGCGAAAGCAUUUGCCAAAGAUGUUUUCAUUAAUCAAGAACGAAAGUUAGAGGUUCGAAGGCGAUCAGAUACCGCCCUAGUUCUAACCAUAAACGAUGCCAGCUAGCGAUCCGCCGACGUUCCUCCGAUGACUCGGCGGGCAGCUUCCGGGAAACCAAAGCUUUUGGGUUCCGGGGGAAGUAUGGUUGCAAAGCUGAAACUUAAAGGAAUUGACGGAAGGGCACCACCAGGAGUGGAGCCUGCGGCUUAAUUUGACUCAACACGGGAAAUCUCACCAGGCCCGGACACCGGAAGGAUUGACAGAUUGAGAGCUCUUUCUUGAUUCGGUGGGUGGUGGUGCAUGGCCGUUCUUAGUUGGUGGAGCGAUUUGUCUGGUUAAUUCCGAUAACGAACGAGACUCUAGCCUGCUAACUAGGCGUAACACUUUCCGGUAUCCCGAAGGCCCGCCGGUCGUCGCAGCGUCGUCGCGUUAACGCGCGGCGGCUCGGCGAUUCGCGCGCGGUUUUCGCUACCGGCGUUUAUACAAAUCUUCUUAGAGGGACAGGCGGCUCUCAGCCGCACGAGAUUGAGCAAUAACAGGUCUGUGAUGCCCUUAGAUGUCCUGGGCCGCACGCGCGCUACACUGAAGGAAGCAGCGUGUGCUCCCUGGCCGAAAGGUCCGGGUAACCCGCUGAAACUCCUUCGUGCUAGGGAUCGGGGCUUGCAAUUAUUCCCCGUGAACGAGGAAUUCCCAGUAAGCGCGAGUCAUAAGCUCGCGUUGAUUACGUCCCUGCCCUUUGUACACACCGCCCGUCGCUACUACCGAUUGAAUGAUUUAGUGAGGUCUUCGGACCGUCGCUCGGCGACGUUCCGACGCUGCCGUAGUCGAUGGAAAGAUGACCGAACUUGAUCAUUUAGAGGAAGUAAAAGUCGUAACAA